rnacentral:rRNA from 1 species
CGCGGCCUAUCAGCUUGUUGGUGAGGUAACGGCUCACCAAGGCGACGACGGGUAACCGGCCUGAGAGGGUGACCGGUCACACUGGGACUGAGACACGGCCCAGACUCCUACGGGAGGCAGCAGUGGGGAAUAUUGCACAAUGGGCGCAAGCCUGAUGCAGCAACGCCGCGUGAGGGAUGACGGCCUUCGGGUUGUAAACCUCUUUUAGCAGGGAAGAAGCGAAAGUGACGGUACCUGCAGAAAAAGCACCGGCUAACUACGUGCCAGCAGCCGCGGUAAUACGUAGGGUGCAAGCGUUGUCCGGAAUUAUUGGGCGUAAAGAGCUCGUAGGCGGUUUGUCGCGUCUGCUGUGAAAAUCCGAGGCUCAACCUCGGACCUGCAGUGGGUACGGGCAAACUAGAGUGCGGUAGGGGAGAUUGGAAUUCCUGGUGUAGCGGUGGAAUGCGCAGAUAUCAGGAGGAACACCAAUGGCGAAGGCAGAUCUCUGGGCCGUAACUGACGCUGAGGAGCGAAAGCGUGGGGAGCGAACAGGAUUAGAUACCCUGGUAGUCCACGCCGUAAACGAUGGGCACUAAGCGUCCGACGGGUUCGACCCUGUUGGGUGCUGCAGUUAACGCGUUAAGUGCCCCGCCUGGGGAGUACGG